ACGAAGACGUGAACCUGCACAGACAAUUUUCUGUCAUAGGCUUUAGUAUCCAUUACGAACUUCAAAUACCAAAUUUAAAAUAUUUCCGGUGAAUAAUGUCGCCUAAAUCACCAAAAUACCCAAUAUCGGGAGGUACCAUUAUAUGGGGCUAUACGAAGACGCGGACCUGCACAGACAAUUUUCUGUCAUAGGCUUUAGUAUCCAUUAAGAACUUCAAAUACCAAAUUUGAAACAAUUCAGGUGAAUAGUGUCGUUAAAAUCAUCCAAAUACCGAAUAUCGGAAGCUACCGUUAUAUGAGGGCUAUACGAAGACGUGAAUCUGCACAGACAAUUUUCUGUCAAAGGCUGUAGUAUCCAUUACGAACUUCAAAUACCAAAUUUGAAACUAUUCCGGUGAAUAAUGUCGCUAAAAUCAUCAAAAUACCGAAUAUCGGGAGUUACCGUUAUAUGGGAGCUAUACCGAAACGUAGACCUACAUGGCUCAUUUUCUGUCAUAGGCUGUAGUAUCCAUUACGAACUUCAAAUACCAAAUUUGAAACAUUUUCUUUUCAUUGUUUUGACCACAUGCCCUGCAAUAGCUUUUUUGUACUCACGAUCCUCACGAUCUCGGCUUGUGUUAAUGGAUUGUGGUUUUUCAGAAUUUCACAACAAAAACCGCAAAGUUGUGUCGUAAACAAUGGCAAAUUGAAACCUUCCUUCAAUCGUUUCGAUUUGUGUGAUUCCCCCGAAUUGUUUUUAUUUUGCCUUAAAUUAAAUGGUUGUGUGCGCCUUAAUUGAUUAGUUCGUCUACAACUUGUGGCGAAAAAAGUACGACAAUGAAGUUAUUCAAUUUAUAUUUUCUAGUGUUUCUAUUAUUGAACCUCUUGAUUACCAUGACCCAAGCCGAUGUAGUUACAGCGUCAAAGAAUAACUGCUGUAAAUUUAGUUGUGGAGAUAAUUGUAAAGUUUAAGCAACAACAACAACAACAAACCACAUUAAAAAAACAACAUUUGCGGACUUGGAAUUCGUCCACACAACGUCGAGGAGAAACUACUGAAACAUUAUUUUUGCUGCAGAAAUGUGAAAUUUGGAAAUUUGCCUCCAAAAGAAGAAUACAGGCAAUCGCAUCGACACAGCUGCUGGGACAAUGAACUGUCAAGCCGAAUUUGGAAUUGAAAAUGUCGAAUGAAAAAUUAUUGAAAUUUAUUAAAAUUUUUUGAAAAAUACAUAUCAUAACCGUGCAA